UAGACCAUUUUUCGUUCCGACCCGUUCCGGAAUGUUCUUGCUGAUAUCCGGGCAGUUUUCGAGGUCGAGCAGAGGUUCUACGCCAGUGACCUGAGUGCGCAAAGAUGUUUUGCUGGUCCCGAAGAACUCCCGCAAUUCGUAGGUCAUCGAUUCGGGGAAAAUGAACGAGCCGCGGCGAAAAUUUCACGUAGGCAGAGCUGGAAGGACCCCGCGGAACCGGUUCCGGUGUGGACAACGCUAAACAAGCCAGAUGAAAAUUGGCUCCGGCAACUGCUUGCGAGCUCUGGGCACCGCGGGCCGCUUCUUGAAAUUAAACGACGUCCCAGCAACCGGAAUCCGGACGCGGCUUGUGGCAGAAGUCAUUUCCG